rnacentral:rRNA from 1 species
AUUUCUUGGGAGAAAUUGGUAUCACCAAAAUGCAGAGGUGGAACGGGCUUCCGGGACCUACAUCUUUUCAAUCUGGUUCUAUUGGGAAAGCAUGAUUGGCGAUUCAUGACAAAUCUGAAUUCUCUACGUGUCAGAGUUAUGAAGGGAAGAUAUUUUCCACAUUGUGAUUUUAUGCAAGCAACAGUACCUCAAACAGUUUCAGCAACUUGGAGAGCUAUCGUUGCUGGGAGAGAUGUGCUGCAGCUAGGCAUUAUUCAGAGGAUUGGGGAUGGGACAAGCAUUAACGUGUGGAUGGACAAAUGGAUACCCUCCACUUUAUCUAUCACACCGUUGCUGAAACCGGCCGCUACCACGAUGGAGCAUGUCAGUGAUCUCAUCGAUCAGACAAACUGA